rnacentral:rRNA from 1 species
UGGGGAAUCUUGCACAAUGGGGGAAACCCUGAUGCAGCGACGCCGCGUGAACGAUGAAGCCCUUCGGGGUGUAAAGCUCUUUCGACCGGAACGAUAAUGACGGUACCGGGAGAAGAAGCUGCGGCUAACUACGUGCCAGCAGCCGCGGUAAUACGUAGGCAGCAAGCGUUGUUCGGAGUUACUGGGCGUAAAGAGUGCGUAGGCGGUUUUCUAAGUUCGGUGUGAAAUCUCCCGGCUUAACUGGGAGGGUGCGCCGAAGACUGGGAAGCUGGAGUGUGGGAAAGGCAGGCGGAAUUCCUGGUGUAGCGGUGAAAUGCGUAGAUAUCAGGAGGAACACCGGCGGUGUAGACGGCUUGCUAGACCAUAACUGACGCUGAGGCACGAAAGCGUGGGUAGCAAACA